AUGCUGGCAACUCUCUGUGCUCUCAUCACUGCUCUAACAUGUGUGAGUGGUGUGACAAUGGUGACACAGAAACCUCUUCUAUCAGUGAGGAAAGGAGAGACAGCCACCAUGGACUGUAACCUGGGGACUGUUACUGGCAGCUAUUGUCGUUGGUAUAAACAGAUUCCAGGAGGAGCUCCUCAGUUUGUGCUGUGGUUUCAUCAUAGCUCUAGUUCUCCAACCUAUGGCUCUGGGUUCUCCUCGCCAAAAUUCACAUCCACUCAUCAGUCAACAACAGAUUAUCGUUUGAUCAUCAGCAAUGUGGAGGAGGGAGACUCUGCAGUCUAUUACUGUAAGACAUGGGACGGCUCUGUUGAUGAGUCCACUUACCAAAUCAGCAGCUCUCUGACCAUCCAGACAUCAGACUGGAACAUGGAUAAGGUUUAUACAUGUAAAGUGUCUUUGGGCUCACAGACUUCAGAGAAAACCAUCAAGAAGUCAGAAUGUUCCACUGAAUAG